GGGCCCGUAGCUCAGUUGGCUAGAGCGCCGCUUUUGCAAUGCGGAGGUCGCAGGUUCGAUUCCUGUCGGGUCCACAA
rnacentral:tRNA from 1 species